rnacentral:hammerhead_ribozyme from 17 species
CAAGCGUCUGGGGUAAGCAGUCGCUGCCGUCAGCGCCCCACUGACGAGUCUGUGACUCCGCAGUGACUCCGAAACGAAACGCAAC